rnacentral:rRNA from 1 species
AAUGAUGAAUGUCAUAGAUUAGACAUCUAAUAGUUUAUUCUAUAAAUGAAAGUGUAAGCAUUCCACCUCAAGAGUAAUUUGGCAACAUUGGAACUGAAAUCAUUAGACCGUUUCUGAAACCAGUAGUGAAGUAUGUUGUUUAAUUUGAUAAUCCGCAAAAAACCUUACCACAAUUUGAAUAUUUAUAUUAUUUUCUAAUCUAUCUAAUGAAAGGAAGAAAUAUAUUUACAAGCGUUGCACGGCUGUCUUCAGUUAAUGUCGUGAGACUUUGGUUAGUUCCAUUAAAUUAACGUAAACCCUCACUUUAUUUUUAUAUAAAGUUGUUCUCCACUAGAUUGGAUAAGAUAACAGGGACUAAGACAAGUCAUCAUGGCCUGAAUAUUGUGGGCUAUA